GUUUUCCAUGUAUUCUACAACAUGACAGCGUGACGUCAUAAAUCUCGCCCGGAGGCUGAUCUUUUAAUAGAAGGCACUGGUUGAGGAUACAUUUAAAAUACGCUAUUAACGUGGAUUUGGACGACAAUAGGUUUUUAGUUUGUGAUGUUUCAUGUGAUGAUCAUUUUCAUGUUCAUCGUCUUUGAAUUGACAUGAGGAUAUCUAUGGAAAAGUAACUAAUCUGAAAGUAAGCCAACAUAUCGUUUGUCCUUUGUGUGCUAAAGAAAAGAUUUUCUUUUCGCAUCAUGAGGAAGUAUUACAUCAAUUAAAAAAUGUUAGGAAGUUGAUUACUUGUCAUGGAAAAGUAUACCAAUGGAAAUUAUUUGUUAAAGAAGUAUAAUUCUAAGGGUUUUAAGAAUAAAUUGGUUGAACCCAAAAUCUGGAGGAAGUACCUAUAUCCAUACACAGAAUAUGCCCAUUAAAAAUACUAGUCCAAAUUUGCUUUAAUGGUAGACAAUUAUUCAAUACAAAUUAACUUUUUAAGUGACUGAAAUAUUAAAUAGUUUAGAAUAUGGUAUAACAAUGUAAAAAAAUAUUAUUUUCAGGAACGAUUAGGGCCCGAUAUAUUUGAAACUCAUGUUGGACAUAGUAUUGAGUUGGGUAGAAUAUUAUUCUACGUUAAGUGAGGGUAUCAGAUACCUAUUAUUGUACUGUAUUUUAAUAUAUACAUUAGAAUUGUUGGUUUUUU